CUGGGACUGAAGGUGUGCACCACACAUCUG
rnacentral:piRNA from 1 species